rnacentral:rRNA from 1 species
UACGAAGGGGGCUAGCGUUGUUCGGAAUUACUGGGCGUAAAGGGCGCGUAGGCGGUGUGUCAAGUCAGGCGUGAAAGCCCCGGGCUCAACCUGGGAACCGCGCUUGAGACUGGCACGCUAGAGUUCGGGCGAGGAUGGUGGAAUUCCCAGUGUAGAGGUGAAAUUCGUAGAUAUUGGGAAGAACACCGAUGGCGAAGGCAGCCAUCUGGACCGACACUGACGCUGAGGCGCGAAAGCGUGGGGAGAAAACAGG